GCUAGUGUGGCGUAGUGGUUUGAGUGUUGGACUAGGACUCUGGAGACCAGGAUUCGAUUCCCUGCCCAGCC
rnacentral:tRNA from 1 species